AAACCUCCACACUGUUGGUCCUCUGGGGUGAGGUGUUCCUCAGAGGUGACGUGUUCCACAGGGAUUAAAGAUCCUUCACCUGAAAUUCAUCAAUAUGUGAAGAAGAAACUCAACAACUGGAGGAAACUGAAGGUUGUGGGUUUAGUAACCACAAAUAAAUACUACUUAGAUUUAAUCCAGACUGGAAGUAUCAGCACUUCUACACAGGACAGUACGAUGAGGCUCUACAGUACAAACACAGCAGCUUCUUGUUCUUCUUAUGAUGUUUAAUGGCGGUUGGCAGAACAACUUAAGACGCACCAGCGUCACCAACUGGACUGGAGUUGAACAGCAGCUUAGCAGUAAAACAUCUCCAUUAGCCCUGUAUCUCUCAGCUACAGUGUUGGGGGGAACGCGGCUCAUCGUGGAGGCAGAUUGGUGGAUAAGUUGGCGGGUCUAAACUGCUGUAGGCUGAAUGAACAGAGAUAAACUGAUGAAGGCUGAACGAACGUACCACAAUACAAAUAACUAUUUCUGUAAAAGAAUCAAAUCCCCUCUGAAACCAUCCACAUGUAUCUAAGUUCUGCUGUAUUAUUCCUCACCAUGUGCUGGUUUCACUUUUAAACUUGUGUUUUACAGCUCAGGAGAAAUCAGGUGAGAAUCAGCUUCUCCAGGAGACUCUAAAACACCUCAUGUGGCUUAAUGUACUAAACAGCCUAGAAACACUAAACGUCUCUCAGUUAUUACUAUUUCCGAUCUCCGGUAAUUAAUAAACUCAAAUACUGUCAAUCUGAAAGUCCCCAAAGGAUGGCACCAUUUUCACAAAAAUGAAUGACGGAACAAUAAUUAUUGCAGUAAUCUGUCUUUUAUCACUUUGUUUUUAAUAUUCUGUGUAUAAAGUGAAUUUUAUGUACGUCUACUAUAAACCAUUAGCAAACUAUUAAAUAUGACUAUAUUAGACUUUUACUGUAACAUUUACAUUUACAAAAAAUAUAUAAUGUAAUAGGCUAAUCAACUUUCAAAACUAUAUAAAAGUCCAGAAUUUAGCUUAUUCAUCUUGAAAUUUCCAGUUUUCCAGAAGUGUAGCAUCUCUACUAAGAAAAAAUAUUGAUUUUAAUGAAAAAGCAUUAAAGCAAUUGCAGGAUAAGGCAUGACAAUAAUAUGUGCUUGUGUUUUAUUUAAAACCAAACUGAAUGCGUGUAUUUCUGAAU